UACGGAGGGGGCAAGCGUUAUUCGGGAUUAUUGGGCGUAAAGGGCGCGUAGGCGGCUAGAUGUGUCAAAGGUGAAAUCCCUCGGCUCAACUGAGGAACUGCCUUUGAAACUGUCUGGCUUGAGGCCGGGAGAGGGUAGCGGAAUUCCCAGUGUAGCGGUGAAAUGCGUAGAUAUUGGGAGGAACACCAGUGGCGAAGGCGGCUACCUGGACCGGUUCUGACGCUGAGGUGCGAAAGCGUGGGUAGCAAACAGG
rnacentral:rRNA from 1 species